AUUUGAUGAUGGGGACAUCUGGCACACGACUUUUUGAAACGCUCCCAGUAUUCAUACAAAGACUCCCUAUUAUCCUGCCUUACACCACAAAUCUCGUUUUGAAGCU
rnacentral:snoRNA from 1 species